rnacentral:rRNA from 1 species
UACGUAGGGUGCGAGCGUUGUCCGGAAUUAUUGGGCGUAAAGGGCUCGUAGGCGGUUUGUCGCGUCGGGAGUGAAAACCUUGGGCUUAACUCAGGGCUUGCUUUCGAUACGGGCAGACUAGAGGUAUGCAGGGGAGAACGGAAUUCCUGGCGUAGCGGUGAAAUGCGCAGAUAUCAGGAGGAACACCGGUGGCGAAGGCGGUUCUCUGGGCAUGAUCUGACGCUGAGGAGCGAAAGUGUGGGGAGCGAACAGG